rnacentral:rRNA from 1 species
AUUGAACGCUGGCGGCAGGCUUAACACAUGCAAGUCGAACGGUAACAGGAAGAAGCUUGCUUCUUUGCUGACGAGUGGCGGACGGGUGAGUAAUGUCUGGGAAACUGCCUGAUGGAGGGGGAUAACUACUGGAAACGGUAGCUAAUACCGCAUAACGUCGCAAGACCAAAGAGGGGGACCUUCGGGCCUCUUGCCAUCGGAUGUGCCCAGAUGGGAUUAGCUAGUAGGUGGGGUAACGGCUCACCUAGGCGACGAUCCCUAGCUGGUCUGAGAGGAUGACCAGCCACACUGGAACUGAGACACGGUCCAGACUCCUACGGGAGGCAGCAGUGGGGAAUAUUGCACAAUGGGCGCAAGCCUGAUGCAGCCAUGCCGCGUGUAUGAAGAAGGCCUUCGGGUUGUAAAGUACUUUCAGCGGGGAGGAAGGGAGUAAAGUUAAUACCUUUGCUCAUUGACGUUACCCGCAGAAGAAGCACCGGCUAACUCCGUGCCAGCAGCCGCGGUAAUACGGAGGGUGCAAGCGUUAAUCGGAAUUACUGGGCGUAAAGCGCACGCAGGCGGUUUGUUAAGUCAGAUGUGAAAUCCCCGGGCUCAACCUGGGAACUGCAUCUGAUACUGGCAAGCUUGAGUCUCGUAGAGGGGGGUAGAAUUCCAGGUGUAGCGGUGAAAUGCGUAGAGAUCUGGAGGAAUACCGGUGGCGAAGGCGG